rnacentral:rRNA from 1 species
GACGAACGCUGGCGGCGUGCCUAAUACAUGCAAGUAGAACGCUGAAGGAGGAGCUUGCUUCUCUGGAUGAGUUGCGAACGGGUGAGUAACGCGUAGGUAACCUGCCUGUUAGCGGGGGAUAACUUUUGGAAACGAUAGCUAAUACCGCAUAAUAGCAGUUGUUGCAUGACAACUGUUUGAAAGGUGCAAUUGCACCACUACCAGAUGGACCUGCGUUGUAUUUGGUAGUUGGUGUGGUAACGGCUCACCAAGGCGACGAUACAUAGCCGACCUGUGAGGGUGAGCAGCCGGCCUGGGAGUGUGACCCGGCCCAGACUGCUUGGGGAGGGAGCAGGAGGGAUUCUUCGGCAAUGGACGGAAGUCUGAGCAAGCAACGCCGCGGGAGUGAAGAAGGUUUUCGGAUCGUAAAGCACUGUUGUAGGGGAAGAACGAGUGUGAGAGUGGAAAGUUCACACUGUGACGGUAUCUUACCAGAAAGGGACGGCUAACUACGUG